GCUCUCCUGCCUCCGCGGCCCCAGGUGCGUCUCGGGCGAGAGAGCCGGCGGAGCAGGUGGAAGAGCGCCGGCGGGAGCCGACGGGGUGCUGCUUCUGCCCCGCAGCCCUCAAACUCGGAGAGGAAAAAGCCUGACGGAGCCAGGGUGGUCAAAAGCCAGGGGCGGCAGAGCUCUGGGCCUUCCGCGCUCGCAUCUCCGCAGUCCACAGCUGCCUCCCUGCUGGGAUUCGAACCCCGACGGAGCCCCCACUGCUCAGGGGGCAUCCAGUCUUGCGCCGGCGCUGACUGGGCCAGAGAAGGCGCUCUCUGCCGGGCUCUCUUUCCCGCUGACCGUCACCUCUGGCGUUUCCGGCCCUAGACGGACAGGCGGCCUCCCAGGAGGGCCUCGGUAAUUUCUCUGCCCGGAUCUGCGUCCUGGAGUCCUGGCUAGGGCCACCAUCUCUCAGGAGCGCAGAUGCCUAGAUUGAGGCUGUGGGCCUGAACUCCCUCAUUUGAGCCAGGGUGGGAGUCGGCUCCAGCAUCUCGGCCCAAACUCGCACCCCAAAAAGCGCUGGAAGAGGCCGGCGACCCCUUCCCCCGCGGCGCGCGUGUUGGGUGGGACUCAGCGGCUCGGUGGACGGCGCUCCUGC